GGCCGCAAGGUUAAAACUCAAAUGAAUUGACGGGGGCCCGCACAAGCGGUGGAGCAUGUGGUUUAAUUUGACGCAACGCGAAGAACCUUACCAGGUCUUGACAUCCUGCGAACUUUCUAGAGAUAGAUUGGUGCCUUCGGGAACGCAGUGACAGGUGCUGCAUGGCUGUCGUCAGCUCGUGUCGUGAGAUGUUGGGUUAAGUCCCGUAACGAGCGCAACCCUUGUCCUUAGUUGCCAGCACAUAAUGGUGGGAACUCUAAGGAGACUGCCGGUGACAAACCGGAGGAAGGUGGGGACGACGUCAAGUCAUCAUGGCCCUUACGACCUGGGCUACACACGUGCUACAAUGGCCAGUACAGAGGGCUGCUAACCCGUGAGGGGGCGCUAAUCUCAUAAAGCUGGUCGUAGUCCGGAUCGCAGUCUGCAACUCGACUGCGUGAAGUUGGAAUCGCUAGUAAUCGCGAAUCAGAAUGUCGCGGUGAAUACGUUCCCGGGCCUUGUACACACCGCCCGUCACACCAUGGGAGUGGGUUGCAAAAGAAGUAGCUAGGCUAACCUUCGGGAGGCCGGUUACCACUUUGUGAUUCAUGACUGGGGUG
rnacentral:rRNA from 1 species